rnacentral:rRNA from 1 species
GAUGAACACUAGCGGCAGGCUUAACACAUGCAAGUCGAGGGGUAUAGUAGCAAUACUAGAGACCGGCGCACGGGUGCGUAACGCGUAUGCAAUCUACCUUUCACAGAGGGAUAGCCCAGAGAAAUUUGGAUUAAUACCUCAUAGUAUAGUAUCUUGGCAUCAAGGAACUAUUAAAGUCACAACGGUGAAAGAUGAGCAUGCGUCCCAUUAGUUAGUUGGUAAGGUAACGGCUUACCAAGACUACGAUGGGUAGGGGUCCUGAGAGGGAGAUCCCCCACACUGGUACUGAGACACGGACCAGACUCCUACGGGAGGCAGCAGUGAGGAAUAUUGGACAAUGGACGCAAGCCUGAUCCAGCCAUGCCGCGUGCAGGAUGACGGUCCUAUGGAUUGUAAACUGCUUUUGUACAGGAAGAAACACCCCGACGUGUCGGGACUUGACGGUACUGUAAGAAUAAGGAUCGGCUAACUCCGUGCCAGCCGCCGCCGUAA